UACGGAGGGGGCUAGCGUUGUUCGGAAUUACUGGGCGUAAAGGGCGCGUAGGUGGUUACGUAAGUGAGAUGUGAAAUCCCUGGGCUUAACCUGGGAACUGCAUCUUAUACUGCGUAGCUGGAGUGCAGUAGAGGGUAGUGGAAUUUCCGGUGUAGCGGUGAAAUGCGUAGAUAUCGGAAGGAACACCAGUGGCGAAGGCGGCUACCUGGACUGACACUGACACUGAGGCGCGAGAGCGUGGGGAGCAAACAGG
rnacentral:rRNA from 1 species